rnacentral:rRNA from 1 species
UACAGAGGGGGCAAACGUUGCUCGGAAUUAUUGGGCGUAAAGCGCACGUAGGCGGUCAUGUAAGUCAGGAGUGAAAGCCCUCGGCUUAACCGGGGAAGUGCUUUUGAAACUGCAUGACUUGAAUACUGGAGAGGGUCGCGGAAUUCCCGGUGUAGAGGUGAAAUUCGUAGAUAUCGGGAGGAACACCAGUGGCGAAGGCGGCGACCUAGACAGAUAUUGACGCUGAGGUGCGAAAGCGUGGGGAGCAAACAGG